CCUACGGGAGGCAGCAGUGGGGAAUAUUGCACAAUGGGGGCAAGCCUGACCCAGCAACGCCGCGUGAAGGAAGAAGGCUUUCGGGUUGUAAACUUCUUUUGUCAGGGACGAAGCAAGUGACGGUACCUGACGAAUAAGCCACGGCUAACUACGUGCCAGCAGCCGCGGUAAUACGUAGGUGGCAAGCGUUAUCCGGAUUUCCUGGGUGUAAAGGGCGUGUAGGCGGGACUGCAAGUCAGAUGUGAAAACCACGGGCUCAACCUGUGGCCUGCAUUUGAAACUGUAGUUCUUGAGUACUGGAGAGGCAGACGGAAUUCCUAGUGGAGCGGUGAAAUGCGUAGAUAUUAGGAGGAACACCAGUGGCGAAGGCGGUCUGCUGGACAGCAACUGACGCUGAGGCGCGAAAGCGUGGGGAGCAAACAGGAUUAGAUACCCCAGUAGUC
rnacentral:rRNA from 1 species